rnacentral:rRNA from 1 species
CCUAAGGUAGCGAAAUUCCUUGUCGGGUAAGUUCCGACCCGCACGAAAGGCGUAACGAUUUGGGCACUGUCUCAACAACAGACUCGGUGAAAUUGUAAUUCCGGUGAAGAUGCCGGAUACCUGCGACAGGACGGAAAGACCCCAUGGAGCUUUACUGUAGCUUGGCAUUGGGUCUUGGUACUACAUGUACAGCAUAGGUGGGAGGCUUUGAUUCCAGGACGCCAGUUUUGGAUGAGCCACCGUUGGGAUACCACCCCUGUAGUACUGGGACUCUAACCAGAGGCCUUGAAUCAGGUCUUGGGACACUGUCAGGCGGGCAGUUUGACUGGGGCGGUCGCCUCCCAAAAGGUAACGGAGGCGCUCAAAGGUUCUCUCAGCACGGUCGGAAAUCGUGCAUAGAGUGUAAAGGCAUAAGAGAGCUUGAUUGCAAGACAUACAGGUCGAGCAAGGACGAAAGUCGGACUUAGUGAUCCGGUGGUUCUGAGUGGAAGGGCCAUCGCUCAACGGAUAAAAGCUACCCUGGGGAUAACAGGCUUAUCUCCCCCAAGAGUCCACAUCGACGGGGAGGUUUGGCACCUCGAUGUCGGCUCAUCACAUCCUGGGGCUGUAGUAGGUCCCAAGGGUUGGGCUGUUCGCCCAUUAAAGUGGUACGCGAGCUGGGUUCAGAACGUCGUGAGACAGUUCGGUCCCUAUCCGUCGCAGGCGUAGGAAAUUUGAGAGGAUCUGCCCUUAGUACGAGAGGACCGGGGUGGACGUACCGCUGGUGUACCAGUUGUCUCGCCAGAGGCAUGGCUGGGUAGCUAUGUACGGAACGGAUAAGCGCUGAAAGCAUCUAAGCGCGAAGCCAGCCUUAAGAUAAGAUUUCCCAUUCUUCGGAAGUAAGACCCCAUGAAGACUACGUGGUUGAUAGGUCGGAGGUGGAAGUGCAGUAAUGUAUGCAGCUUACCGAUACUAAUAGGUCGAGGACUUGACCAA